rnacentral:rRNA from 1 species
CCUACGGGAGGCAGCAGUAGGGAAUCUUCCACAAUGGACGAAAGUCUGAUGGAGCAACGCCGCGUGAGCGAUGAAGGCCUUCGGGUCGUAAAGCUCUGUUGUUAGGGAAGAACAAGUACCGGAGUAACUGCCGGUACCUUGACGGUACCUAACCAGAAAGCCACGGCUAACUACGUGCCAGCAGCCGCGGUAAUACGUAGGUGGCAAGCGUUGUCCGGAAUUAUUGGGCGUAAAGCGCGCGCAGGCGGUCCUUUAAGUCUGAUGUGAAAGCCCACGGCUCAACCGUGGAGGGUCAUUGGAAACUGGGGGACUUGAGUGCAGAAGAGGAAAGCGGAAUUCCACGUGUAGCGGUGAAAUGCGUAGAGAUGUGGAGGAACACCAGUGGCGAAGGCGGCUUUCUGGUCUGUAACUGACGCUGAGGCGCGAAAGCGUGGGGAGCGAACAGGAUUAGAUACCCUGGUAGUCCACGCCGUAAACGAUGAGUGCUAAGUGUUAGAGGGUUUCCGCCCUUUAGUGCUGCAGCAAACGCAUUAAGCACUCCGCCUGGGGAGUACGGCCGCAAGGCUGAAACUCAAAGGAAUUGACGG